AAAACACUUAAUUUUAUUUUAUUUUGAGUAUUAAUUAAGUUUAGGGCCGAAGCCCAUGUUAUUUUGGUUUAAGCGGCAUAGUUAGGGAUUUAUUUCCUUAUUUUGGUGUUAGGGCCGCAUAGUUAGGGAUAUAUAUAUUAGUUUUAGGUUUAACUUUACAUUAGACAUUCACAACUUUUACUGCAGCCGCACUUUUUGAUUUCUU
rnacentral:lncRNA from 1 species